UACACCAUCCAUAAGAUGCUAAAGCAGUGGAGGAACCCGAAAUCUACAACUGAGGCUGCGGUUGCAGAGCGUCGUCCUCUGCCGACCAUCUCCGUAUCAUAUGACAGUCAUGAGCGGUGGUCCUCCUUAGUUGUAUGAGCACAAAGGGAGAGAGAGCCAGAGCGGAAUCGCAAUUUAUUGGGUUAGGGCUUUUCCGCGAGAACUAUCCCUUUUGAGCAGCUUCAGGCUUCCCAUCGCCGCCGCUGAGAUUGAAAGGAGGUAUCUUGGGACGGACGAGUAUUCUGGUUGGUUUUGAUAGUUGAUAUUGAAUAUAAUUCCUCUUCUCAAAUAAAAAAAAAAGAAAAUAUUGAAUAUAAUUCCCUCCUCCCGAGGCCGGCCUUCCCUUCCUUCCCUUUUGUCCUUUUGUGCGUUACCGAACAAAUCGCGCCACUAGGAAAUGAUGAGAAAAGCAAUGAAACGGCAGUAAAAGAAGCACCGAAGUCGAAUUAUUUUGCUCAUUUCUCCAUACGCUCUCUCUGCUUUCUCUGGGUCAAAUUCAGAAGUCAACCCGAACAGAGAAAUGGAGCUAAAGGCAGGCCUCUCAGCUCUAGUCACCGGCGAGCCUCCGGAAUCGAAAGAACCUCAUCUGAGGGUACUUUUGAUGAGGCCUGCGGUUUGCAUCCUCAAUGACCAUUCGCAAAAGCAUAUGGAAUGUCCGGGGAGUGCAUCCGGAGAAGGAGCAUCAUCGGCUAUGCCAACAUUUGGCAGCAGCUAGGUUGAACAUCGUAAUGAUUUGGUGACGGCUUUGAAUUUGUUUCUCUCUCCCUCUGGUUUUGCUACUUUCAGUGCGCCUGCUGCUUGCUUACAUGUACCUAUAUCCAUUUUUUCGACUAAUGUACCGUGUUUAAUUGAUCAGAGACAUCCAAACCAUCUUUUUUAUUUAUUUAUUAUUUGUACAAACGAGCCGUUACAAAUGAUUAUAAAUAUAGAAAUGAUUUAUGUACUCUCA